CGAGUCGACCGGGCGGUCGCGUCAGCGGGCCGAUGAGGCCCGGUGCCGAGGAACGUCCGGACUCCACAGGGCAGGGUGGUUGCUAACGGCAACCCGGGGUGACCCGCGGGACAGUGCCACAGAAAACAGACCGCCCACCGGGCACGCUCGGUGGGUAAGGGUGAAACGGUGGGGUAAGAGCCCACCAGCACCCCGGGUGACCGGGGUGGCUAGGUAAACCCCACCCGGAGCAAGGCCAAGAGAUGGUUGUCUCCAGCAGGAGAUCACCUGCGCAGGCGUUCGAGGGCGGCCCGCCCGAUGCCUGCGGGUAGGCCGCUGGAGCCUGCCGGCAACGGCAGGCCGAGAUGGAUGGCCGCCGCCGGCGUCACCGGCAACGGUGUCGCCCGGCACAGAAUCCGGCGUACAGGUCGACUCGUCCG
rnacentral:RNase_P_RNA from 1 species